rnacentral:rRNA from 1 species
AUUGAACGCUGGCGGCAGGCCUAACACAUGCAAGUCGAACGGUUGCACAGAGAGCUUGCUCUCGGGUGACGAGUGGCGGACGGGUGAGUAACGUCUGGGAAACUGCCCGAUGGAGGGGGAUAACUACUGGAAACGGUAGCUAAUACCGCAUAACGUCGCAAGACCAAAGUGGGGGACCUUCGGGCCUCACACCAUCGGAUGUGCCCAGAUGGGAUUAGCUAGGAGGUGGGGAAAGGGCUCACCUAGGUGACGAUCCCUAGCUGGUCUGAGAGGAUGACCAGCCACACUGGAACUGAGAAACGGUCCAUACUCCUACGGGAGGCAGCAGUGGGGAAUAUUGCACAAUGGGCGAAAGCCUGAUGCAGCCAUGCCGCGUGUAUGAAGAAGGCCUUCGGGUUGUAAAGUACUUUCAGCGGUGAGGAAGGCGGUGAAGUUGAUAGCUUCACCGAUUGACGUUACCCGCAGAAGAAGCACCGGCUAACUCCGUGCCAGCCGCCGCAGUAA